UUGGCUGCCGUCGUCACCUAGCUCGUCGCCAUAGGAGGUCACCAAGAGCUUUGCCUCACAAUAAGUACUUCCAAUCUCACCUCUCUAUCACAUAUCUGAAGCACAAUCUCCCUCGCGCUGUCCAGGCCACCAAGCUCGCGUUGUCGAUGUUAUGAGCUCGCCAUUUCCCUCACGUUACUUCCCUUUCCAAAUUCGUGUGUCAGCGUUCUCUGGUAGGUGGUGUUCAACAUCUUCAAGGUUAGCCUCCUCACCCUCUUC
rnacentral:lncRNA from 1 species